rnacentral:rRNA from 1 species
UACGUAGGGUGCAAGCGUUUGUCCGGAAUUAUUGGGCGUAAAGAGCUCGUAGGCGGUCUGUCGCGUCUGCUGUGAAAACCUAGGGCUUAACUCUGGGCGUGCAGUGGGUACGGGCAGGCUAGAGUGCGGUAGGGGAGACUGGAAUUCCUGGUGUAGCGGUGAAAUGCGCAGAUAAUCAGGAGGAACACCGGUGGCGAAGGCGGGUCUCUGGGCCGUAACUGACGCUGAGGAGCGAAAGCAUGGGGAGCGAACAGG